GGGGAAUGGGUCUGCUUGGAGUGGACACCUCGCUUGCACCGAGGACACCAGAAGAGUUCGAAUCUCUUAUUCUCCACCA
rnacentral:tRNA from 1 species